UGGGGAAUAUUGCACAAUGGGCGCAAGCCUGAUGCAGCCAUGCCGCGUGUAUGAAGAAGGCCUUCGGGUUGUAAAGUACUUUCAGCGAGGAGGAAGGCGAUAAGGUUAAUAACCUUGUCGAUUGACGUUACUCGCAGAAGAAGCACCGGCUAACUCCGUGCCAGCAGCCGCGGUAAUACGGAGGGUGCAAGCGUUAAUCGGAAUUACUGAGCGUAAAGCGCACGCAGGCGGUCUGUCAAGUCGGAUGUGAAAUCCCCGGGCUCAACCUGGGAACUGCAUCCGAAACUGGCAGGCUAGAGUCUUGUAGAGGGGGGUAGAAUUCCAGGUGUAGCGGUGAAAUGCGUAGAGAUCUGGAGGAAUACCGGUGGCGAAGGCGGCCCCCUGGACAAAGACUGACGCUCAGGUGCGAAAGCGUGGGGAGCAAACA
rnacentral:rRNA from 1 species